rnacentral:rRNA from 1 species
GGACGGGUGAGUAAUACAUCGGAACGUGUCCUAAAGUGGGGGAUAACGCAUCGAAAGAUGUGCUAAUACCGCAUAAUCUCUGAGGAGAAAAGUAGGGGAUCGAAAGACCUUAUGCUUUUGGAGCGGCUGANNNCUGAUUAGCUAGUUGGUAAGGUAAUGGCUUACCAAGGCGACGAUCAGUAGUUGGUCUGAGAGGACGACCAGCCACACUGGGACUGAGACACGGCCCAGACUCCUACGGGAGGCAGCAGUGGGGAAUUUUGGACAAUGGGCGCAAGCCUGAUCCAGCAAUGCCGCGUGAGUGAAGAAGGCCUUCGGGUUGUAAAGCUCUUUCAGUUGANNNGAAAAAGUCNNGACUAAUAAUCAUGGCUCAUGACGGUAUCAACAGAAGAAGCACCGGCUAACUACGUGCCAGCAGCCGCGGUAAUACGUAGGGUGCAAGCGUUAAUCGGAAUUACUGGGCGUAAAGGGUGCGCAGGCGGUUCUGUAAGUCAGAUGUGAAAUCCCCGGGCUUAACCUGGGAACUGCGUUUGAAACUGCAGAGCUAGAGUGCGGCAGAGGGAGGUGGAAUUCCAUGUGUAGCAGUGAAAUGCGUAGAGAUAUGGAAGAACAUCGAUGGCGAAGGCAACCUCCUGGGCUAGCACUGACGCUCAUGCACGAAAGCGUGGGGGGCAAACAGGNNNAGAUACCCUGGUAGUCCACGCCCUAAACUAUGUCAACUAGUUGUCGGGUCUUA